UACGUAGGGUGCAAGCGUUGUCCGGAAUUAUUGGGCGUAAAGAGCUCGUAGGCGGUCUGUUGCGUCGGCUGUGAAAACCCGGGGCUCAACCCCGGGCCUGCAGCCGAUACGGGCAGACUAGAGUUCGGCAGGGGAGACUGGAAUUCCUGGUGUAGCGGUGAAAUGCGCAGAUAUCAGGAGGAACACCGGUGGCGAAGGCGGUCUGCUGGGCCGUUGCUGACGCUGAGGCGCGACAGCGUGGGGAGCAAACAGG
rnacentral:rRNA from 1 species